GUAGGUGAACCUGCGGAAGGAUCAUUAGCAAGAAAUCUGUUUGGUUUUUGUGGUGGGGUAAGGGGGUUAGGUGUGUGUUGUGUGAGGGGAGAAGGGAAGGGAAGGGAAGGGAAGGGGAGAAGCUUUUAAACUUUUCUCUAUUCUCUGCCUCUCUCUCUCUCUAUCUAUCUACCUCUCUCUAUCUAUCCCUCUCUUCAUUCUAACCAAAAUAUUCACUCGGACUGUCUAUUAUGGACAGUCUCGAGAAUAU
rnacentral:misc_RNA from 1 species